rnacentral:rRNA from 1 species
UACGUAGGGUGCGAGCGUUGUCCGGAAUUAUUGGGCGUAAAGAGCUUGUAGGCGGUUUGUCGCGUCUGCUGUGAAAAUCCGGGGCUCAACCCCGGACUUGCAGUGGGUACGGGCAGACUAGAGUGUGGUAGGGGAGACUGGAAUUCCUGGUGUAGCGGUGGAAUGCGCAGAUAUCAAGAGGAACACCGAUGGCGAAGGCAGGUCUCUGGGCCACUACUGACGCUGAGAAGCGAAAGCAUGGGGAGCGAACAGG